AUUGAACGCUGGCGGCAUGCUUUACACAUGCAAGUCGAACGGUAACAUGCCGCAAGGUUCUGACGAGUGGCGAACGGGUGAGUAAUGCAUCGGAGCGUGCCCAGUCGUGGGGGAUAACUACUCGAAAGAGUAGCUAAUACCGCAUACGAUCUAUGGAUGAAAGCGGGGGACCGUAAGGCCUCGCGCGAUUGGAGCGGCCGAUGUCAGAUUAGGUAGUUGGUGGGGUAAAGGCUCACCAAGCCAACGAUCUGUAGCUGGUCUGAGAGGACGACCAGCCACACUGGGACUGAGACACGGCCCAGACUCCUACGGGAGGCAGCAGUGGGGAAUUUUGGACAAUGGGCGCAAGCCUGAUCCAGCAAUGCCGCGUGCAGGAAGAAGGUCUUCGGGUUGUAAACUGCUUUUGUACGGAACGAAACGGCUCUGGUUAAUACCCGGGGCUAAUGACGGUACCGUAAGAAUAAGCACCGGCUAACUACGUG
rnacentral:rRNA from 1 species